GCUGCGAUGUCCGAGUGGUUAAGGAGUUGGACUUGAAAUCCAAUGGGGUUUCCCCGCGUAGGUUGGACGUUUCGAACCCUACUCGCAGCG